CCAGCAUACAAAAGAGGAAGGAUAGCACAGCCCAGUCCAGGCAGGUAUUUCUUCAUGUCAUUUGUAAGAGGCAGAUCACAGUUUCUUCCAGUGGAUCAGUAGCCAUGACAGCCUGCAGGGCCACAUGCCGGUAUCCUUGUUGAGCAGGACGGACUGUAGGCUGCCCUCCCAGGGGACAUCUUCCUGCUGCAGCCAGUGUUGUCCUGGAUGCACUGCACCAGAUGAGACCUCACAAAGCAGUGGUAGCUACUGAGGAUGCACAUGUCAAAUGAAGCUACUGAAGAUGUACUCUCCAAGCAAAGUUCUCAGAACCUCUCAGGGAGGAGCAAUGAUUGUAAUGUUUCUUGUGUCCCAAGGUGAAGAAGGGCUUUUCUCUGGGAUGAUUUCCCUAUUCCAGGAUGCUUUCCAUCCCUAUACUGGCGUAAAGUGCAUUCAGCUGUUCAAAGAAUAUGCAAUGAAGCUUUGCUUUGGACUUCAUUACUGUUUCCUGUACUCCAGUAUAGGGGUAAUGGACUUCAACUCUUUGUGGACUUUGAGGAAAAUCUCUACUAACAGCAGAAUGAUGACAUGCUGGCUGUGAGACGACACAGAGUUAUUGAGAGAGCCAGCAGACUUGACCAUCUGGACAAUAUUUCU